rnacentral:rRNA from 1 species
UAGGGAAUCUUCGGCAAUGGGGGCGAACCCUCGACCGAGCAACGCCGCGUGAGUGAAGAAGGUCUUCGGAUCGUAAACUCUGUUGUUAGAGAAGAACACGAGUGAGAGUAACUGUUCAUUCGAUGACGGUAUCUAACCAGCAAGUCACGGCUAACUACGUGCCAG